AUGCAGCCAGCCCUAUCUUACACCUGAUGCACAGCGGACUUUCCCUCCACAGACGCACGUUAGUAAACUAGGAAUGAACUUGUGCUCCCUGGGCUGUUCAGCGCAAAAAAAGAAGGCGUGUUCCGGCGCAAACAAUCCCUGAUGCUAUUUUGCAGUUCCUAAUGUCUAAAGUCAGUGGUGGAAUUGUUUUAAGUGUUGCUUGUGGUAUUCCGAUGCUAUUUUUAGCGAGCAUGCUUGGCCAUAAUGUAGAGUGUGCACAACGAGCAUACACUUUGAUUCCCUCAUCUACACGAAUGCAUUUGCAUUUUUUCUAAUCAUACAUUAUUACAAGGAAAAAUAUUAAAACAUUAAUUGUUGUGUCCAUGAAGAUGUGAGAGAAUUUUUUUUAAAUCUACCUUACACAUUAACCCAAAUUAUUAUUAUUAUUUUAACCAGAGCUUAUUUGUGUGGGUUUCUCCCAUCAUCCCCAUAUAAUGUCACUUCUUUGUGUUUUAGUGGAAGAAAUGAAGAAAAAACAACCAAACGUGGCACUCUCAUUUCACAAAUGAUGGACCAAUCAUUCCCACUAUGCAGACAAGAAAUUGUAAAAAAACAAGGGCCUGCUGUACAGAACAUGGUUGAACGAUGGCCAGCACUUUUCACAGAGAGACAGGUGUUUGCUGAGUUUAAUAGAAUCGCCAGUAAGAAUCUUGAGGGAGACUUGAGGCUUUGGACCAGUAUGCCCCACGUUUCAUCGAACUUUUCAAAACAAAAAGGGAACUGUUGGCCAGAAACUCAAGGAGCUGAUGCAGCACAUGAGCUGGCUGACACCAGGCUCUAGAAUGCAUCACUGUUGGUGUCCUGAUGGUUGUCAGUGAAGAUAGUCCUCACGAGGGUCAAAGCUUAGUGGUCCUCCAGCCCAUCUCCACUGCCAUCAUUCUGGAGGGAGGUAUUGUUAUGGAUAAUGUUAAGAACUUGCCUCAAGUCUUUUGUUUGGGAUUACCCAAAAUGCAUGGCAAAUACACUCAACUUUAUUUAGACUGUGAUGCUUGGACUGGGAAAGAAAAACCUCCCAUCAAAACGGUUGACUCUGAAGAACAGUGUUCUGGGUUAAAGAGCUGUCCGAUAGAACUUUGUAAGCUUUGCAGCCAUUAAUGUUUUCCUGUUGUUAGAUACAGUUUGAUGCUUUCAUGAAACUGUAUUUGCUUCUGAUCUUAAUAAAUAAAAGAAAUUCCAUUAAAGUCUGUAAUGUUAUCCAGGUAUGCUAAUGUUGGAAAUGGAGCCACCGUGUUUUAUUAAGAGUUGUUAGUUGUUAUUAGAUAAUAAUGUCAGAAAAUAACCUACCACGGUUGUCCUGUUUACAUUUGUGUUUUAGGAAAGCUUUUUAUAGUUGUAAUGUAGUACAAAUACAAACCCCAAAACGUGAUGUUUUUGUUUGUUGCUUUAAUCCUUUCACUGCUCACUUUGGGACACAAAACAUUUGUUGUACUUUCAGUUUAAGAUGCAAUUUUUAACUGAAUGUAACUUUUUUAACAUUAAAAAAAUUGCAUUUUAACUCUCUACAGUUAAAUCAACCACAACUUUGUUUAGCUGCUGUUAUGUACAUGAAUGUGCAUUGAAUAAAUGUUGUAAUGUAGCUGAA